UACGUAGGGUGCGAGCGUUAAUCGGAAUUACUGGGCGUAAAGCGUGCGCAGGCGGUUUUGUAAGACAGGCGUGAAAUCCCCGAGCUUCUAACGUGGAAUUGCGCUUGUGACUGCAAGGCUAGAGUGUGUCAGAGGGGGGUAGAAUUCCACGUGUAGCAGUGAAAUGCGUAGAGAUGUGGAGGAAUACCGAUGGCGAAGGCAGCCCCCUGGGACAUGACUGACGCUCAUGCACGAAAGCGUGGGGAGCAAACAGG
rnacentral:rRNA from 1 species